rnacentral:rRNA from 1 species
UAAUACAGAGGGGGCAAGCGUUGUCCGGAUUUACUGGGCGUACAGCGCGCGCAGGCGGAGCGCGACGUGCCGUGUGACAAGCCACCGCUCACCGGUGGAGGGCCACGGUACACGAGCACUCUGGAGGCAGGGAGAGGGAUGUGGAAUGCCCGGUGGAGCGGUGAAAUGCGUAGAGAUCGGGCGGAACACCAGCGGCGAAGGCGGCAUCCUGGUCCUGUUCUGACGCUGAGGCGCGAGAGCGUGGGGAGCGAACUGGAUUAGAUACCCAGGUAGUCCACGCCGUAAACGAUGUGUACCCGGCGCUGGGGAGUGAUUGCGCUCCUCGGUGCCUCAGCUUACGCAGUGAGUACACCGCCUGGGGACUACGGCCGCAAGGCUA